rnacentral:lncRNA from 1 species
ACUAUUUCCAGAAGCGUAAGGGUGAAGAAAUGGAAACAGAGAAGAGACAGUUGCCCAAAAAAUCUGUGGGCUGACAGCUUACAUUUGGAGAAGAGCAAAAAUUGGCUGGAUAAGCACUUGGAUUUGGAACUGGGGGCAAUGGGACUGAAGAGAACCAGUGAGAAUAAUUGUUAAGGAAUCAAAAGAACAAGGGGAUUUCAAGAAAGGCAUGAUCAACAGGGUCAAAUGCUGCUGGGAGGAAAAAGAAGCUAAGGCUUAAAAACUGUUCAUUGACCUUGAAGAGAAGGACAGAGUAAGAGGGCAGGAGUUGGUGGAAUAUAGCAUCAAACAAGGGUUUCUGAAGAUGGAAGAUUUUUGCUUGUUUACAUGAUAACUCUCAAAAUGGCCAUGAGGAUAUACUGGUUUUGAAUGCUCCAGUCGAAAUGGGACCUGUGGUGACCUAAUUUAUGCUCUGACAGUUCAAAGAACUCAAACAAAUACCAUUAGCUGUUAAAGAUUUCGGUCUCCCAUUCUAAGAAGCAGAUCUCAAGCCUUCAAAGAAACCUCCCAUUUCCUUCUGGCUAAGUAGAAAAAUAAUUACUUUGUCAUGAAUACACCAGUGACUACAGAACUCUUCGCUGUUUUGCAGGCUCUAGUUAGGAUGAGGAGCAAUUUCACUAAUCAUUUUUUACUCAAAAUCUCACCAGACCCUUAAAAAUAAACCCUCUAGGCCAAGCGCUAUGGGAUUUUGCCAAUCGAAAUCUGAAGCCUUGUUCAGAGUGUGAAAAGCAGUUUUAAUUAGGAGCACAGGCCAGCCUCUUUUUAAAGGAAAGAAAACUUCUUAAAAUUACAUUAAUUGCCCUAUUAUUAGUAAAUUAAAAAAAAACACAAAAGUCUGUAGAACUCAGUGAUGGGUGAAACUGAUUGCAUUUUCCCGUUGCAGCAGCAGAAAAGCCCUCUCAAGGAGAAUGGCAUGCAUCAUGUGCUGGGGUAGAUAAGGUUUAAUUUCCCCCGGGCAGUGCCGGGCCUUGAA